CCGCAAAUCAUGGACAACGUUAAAGAAGUUAUAUAUAGAUGGUAAUGUAAGAUUUAAUUAUAUAAUUAUAUGGCAAUGUAAGAUUUAAAAUGAUGUAUUUUAUUGGCCAAUAACUUAAUAGUCUGUAACUAAGUUAAUUGAAAUUGAAAAACUUGAUUCUGCCUUUCAAGUAUGCAUCUCGAGUCCAAAUAUUAUAGGUUUCCUUAUGAUAAGUAUACAAAAGAG
rnacentral:lncRNA from 1 species